GAUGAACGCUGGCGGCGUGCCUAAUACAUGCAAGUCGAGCGAACAGACGAGGAGCUUGCUCCUUUGACGUUAGCGGCGGACGGGUGAGUAACACGUGGGUAACCUACCUAUAAGACUGGGAUAACUUCGGGAAACCGGAGCUAAUACCGGAUAAUAUUUCGAACCGCAUGGUUCGAUAGUGAAAGAUGGCUCUGCUAUCACUUAUAGAUGGACCUGCGCCGUAUUAGCUAGUUGGUAUGGUAACGGCUUACCAAGGCAACGAUACGUAGCCGACCUGAGAGGGUGAUCGGCCACACUGGAACUGAGACACGGUCCAGACUCCUACGGGAGGCAGCAGUAGGGAAUCUUCCGCAAUGGGCGAAAGCCUGACGGAGCAACGCCGCGUGAGUGAUGAAGGUCUUCGGAUCGUAAAACUCUGUUAUUAGGGAAGAACAAACGUGUAAGUAACUGUGCACGUCUUGACGGUACCUAAUCAGAAAGCCACGGCUAACUACGUG
rnacentral:rRNA from 1 species